GUGCCAGCCGCCGCGGUAAGACAGAGGGUGCAAACGUUGUUCGGAAUUACUGGGCGUAAAGCGAGUGUAGGCGGUCUCAAAAGUCGGGUGUGAAAGCCCUGGGCUCAACCCAGGAAGUGCACUCGAAACUGCGAGGCUAGAGUAUCGGAGAGGUUGGUGGAAUUCUCGGUGUAGAGGUGAAAUUCGUAGAUAUCGAGAGGAACACCGGUGGCGAAGGCGGCCAACUGGACGAAUACUGACGCUGAGACUCGAAAGCGUGGGGAGCAAACAGGAUUAGAAACCCUAGUAGUCC
rnacentral:rRNA from 1 species